AGAUGGGUUUAAUGUAGAGUU
rnacentral:piRNA from 1 species